CGGACCCCGGACUGGGCACCCUCGUUGUGGGCCCCGGACUGGGCACCCUCGUUGUGGGCCCCGGACUGGGAACCCUUGUUGGGAGCUCCGGACUGGAGAGCGUCGCUGGAGGCUCCGGACUGGAGGGCGCCUCUGGAGGCUCUGGACUGGAGGGCGACACUGGAGAGCGUCGCUGGAAGCUCCGGACUGAAGGGCGCCUCUGGAGGCCCCGGACUGAAGAGCGUCGCUGGAAGCUCCAGACUGAAGGGUGCCUCUGGAGGCUCCGGACUGGAGGGCGACACUGAAGGCUCCGGACUGGAGAGCGUCACUGGAAGCUCCGGACUGAAGGGCGCCUCUGGAGAAUCCGGACUGAAGGGUGCCUCUGGAGGCUCCGGACUGAAGAGCGUCGCUGGAAGCUCCAGACUGAAGGGCGCCUCUGGAGGCUCCGGACUGGAGGGCGACACUGAAGGCUCCGGACUGAAGAGCGUCGCUGGAAGCUCCAGACUGAAGGGCGCCUCUGGAGGCUCCGGACUGGAGGGCGACACUGAAGGCUCCGGACUGAAGAGCGUUGCUGGAAGCUCCAGACUGAUGUGCAUCGCUGGAAGCUCCGGACUGAAGGGAGCCUCUGGAGGCUCCGGACUGGAGGGCGACACUGGAGGCUCCGGACUGGAGAGCGUCACUGGAAGCUCCGGACUGAAGGGCGCUUCUGGAGGCUCCGGACUGAAGGGCGCCUCUGGAGGCUCCGGACUGAAGAGCGUCGCUGGAAGCUCCAGACUGAAGGGCGCCUCUGGAGGCUCCGGACUGAAGAGCGUCGCUGGAAGCUCCAGACUGAAGGGCGCCUCUGGAGGCACCGGACUGGAGGGCGACACUGGAGGCUCCGGAAUGGAGGGCGUCGCUGGAGGGUCCGGAUUGGAGGGCGACUCUGGAGGGAGGAGACGCAGAGACAGCCUGGUGCGUGGGGCAGCCACAGGGCCCACCAGGCUGGGGAGACCUACAGGAGGCCUGGUGCGUAGAGGAGGCACCGGAUGA
rnacentral:lncRNA from 13 species